ACAAGCGGUGGAUGAUGUGGUUUAAUUCGAUGCAACGCGAAAACCUUACCCACCUUUGACAUGUACGGAACCCUUUAGAGAUAGAGGGGUGCUCGAAAGAGAGCCGUAACACAGGUGCUGCAUGGCUGUCGUCAGCUCGUGUCGUGAGAUGUUGGGUUAAGUCCCGCAACGAGCGCAACCCUUGUCAUUAGUUGCUACAUUCAGUUGGGCACUCUAAUGAGACUGCCGGUGACAAGCCGGAGGAAGGUGGGGAUGACGUCAAGUCCUCAUGGCCCUUAUAGGUGGGGCUACACACGUCAUACAAUGGCUGGUACAAAGGGUUGCCAACCCGCGAGGGGGAGCCAAUCCCAUAAAGCCAGUCGUAGUCCGGAUCGCAGUCUGCAACUCGACUGCGUGAAGUCGGAAUCGCUAGUAAUCGUGGAUCAGCAUGUCACGGUGAAUACGUUCCCGGGUCUU
rnacentral:rRNA from 1 species